rnacentral:rRNA from 1 species
UACCAGCACCCCGAGUGGUCGGGACGAUUAUUGGGCCUAAAGCAUCCGUAGCCGGUCCUACAAGUCUUCCGUUAAAUCCACCUGCUUAACAGAUGGGCUGCGGAAGAUACUAUAGGGCUAGGAGGCGGGAGAGGCAAGCGGUACUCAGUGGGUAGGGGUAAAAUCCUCUGAUCCAUUGAAGACCACCAGUGGCGAAGGCGGCUUGCCAGAACGCGAUCGACGGUGAGGGAUGAAAGCUGGGGGAGCAAACCGG